rnacentral:tRNA from 1 species
GCUCCGAUGUUGAAAUUGGUAAACAAGACGGACUUAAAAUCCGUUGUCAGAUUGUGACUUGUGGGUUCAAAUCCCAUUCGGAGUA